GCCAAUGUGGCUUAAUGGUAGAGCAUUGCUUUCCUAAGUCAAUGGGGCUUGAACCCAUAGGAAGUUCAAUCUCCAUCAUUGGUU